rnacentral:rRNA from 1 species
AUAGGCAGUAUCGGAUUUACUGGGCGUAAGCGCGCGUAGGUGGUUAAUUAAGUCAAAUGUGAAAUCCCCGAGCUUAACUUGGGAAUUGCAUUCGAUACUGGUUAGCUUGAGUAUGGGAGAGGAUGGUAGAAUUCCAGGUGUAGCGGUGAAAUGCGUAGAGAUCUGGAGGAAUACCGAUGGCGAAGGCAGCCGUCUGGCCUAAUACUGACACUGAUGUGCGAAAGCAUGGGGAGCAAACAGGAUUAGAUACCCUGGUAGUCCAUGCCGUAAACGAUGUCUACUAGCCGUUGGGGGAUUUGAUCCUUUGGUGGCGCAGCUAACGCGAUAAUUACACCGCCUGGGGAGUACGGUCGCAAGACUAAUACUCAGAUGAAUUGACGGGGGCCCGCACAAGCGGAGGAGCAUGUGGUUUAAUUCGAUGCAACGCGAACAACCUUACCUGGCCUUGACAUAUUAAAAACUUUCCAGAGAUGGAUUGGUGCCUUCGGGAAUCUACAUACUGGUGCUGCAUGGCUGUCGUCAGCUCGUGUCGUGAGAUGUUGGGUUAAGUCCCGCAACGAGCGCUAUCCUUUUCCUUACUUGCCAGCAUUUCGGAUGGGAACUUUAACGAUACUGCCAGUGACCAACUGGAGGAAGGAGGAGACGACGUCAAGUCAUCAUGGCCCUUACGGCCAGGGCUACACACGUGCUACAAUGGUCGGUACAAAGGGUUGCUACACAGCGAUGUGAUGCUAAUCUCAAAAGCCGAUCGUAGUCCGGAUCGCAGUCUGCAACUCUACUGCUGAAGUCGGAGUCGCUAGUAAUCGCGCAUCAUACUGCCGCGAUGAAUACGUUCCCUGGUCUUGUACACCCUCCCGUCACACCAUUGAGUUUGCUGCACCACAGUACGUAGUCUAACCGUGACGAGGACGCUUACGACGGUUUGGCGAUGACUGAGGAUCCUAGAGGACCGUAUCAAA